rnacentral:rRNA from 1 species
AACGAACGCUGGCGGCAUGCCUAACACAUGCAAGUCGAACGAGACCUUCGGGUCUAGUGGCGCACGGGUGCGUAACGCGUGGGAAUCUGCCCUUGGGUUCGGAAUAACAGUGAGAAAUUACUGCUAAUACCGGAUGAUGACGAAAGUCCAAAGAUUUAUCGCCCAAGGGUGAGCCCGCGUAGGAUUAGCUAGUUGGUAAG